rnacentral:rRNA from 1 species
UUUUGUAAAUUAAAACUUGUAUGAAUGGUUUAAUGUAAAUAUAACUGUCUUUAUUUUUUAAAUAAAAUUUAAUUUUUUAGUGAAGAGGCUAAAAUGAUUUAAAAAGACGAGAAGACCCUAUUGAGUUUUAUAUAUUUUUAUAAAAAAUUAUAAAUAUUAUAUUUUAUUGGGGUAAUAAAAGAAUAUAUCUUCUUUUAAUUUAUUAAAAUAAUAAUUAUUAAUCCAUUAAUAGUGAGAUAAGAUAAAUUACCAUAGGGAUAACAGCAUAAUCUUUUUUGAGAGUACAUAUUAAUAAAAAGGGUUGUGACCUCGAUGUUGAAUUAAGAGAAUUAUAUGAUGAAGAAGUUAUAGGAAUAAGUCUGUUCGACUUUUAAAUUCUUA